AGCGAACGCUGGCGGCAGGCUUAACACAUGCAAGUCGAGCGGGCGUAGCAAUACGUCAGCGGCAGACGGGUGAGUAACGCGUGGGAACAUACCUUUUGGUUCGGAACAACACAGGGAAACUUGUGCUAAUACCGGAUAAGCCCUUACGGGGAAAGAUUUAUCGCCGAAAGAUUGGCCCGCGUCUGAUUAGCUAGUUGGUGAGGUAACGGCUCACCAAGGCGACGAUCAGUAGCUGGCUGAGAGGAUGAUCAGCCACAUUGGGACUGAGACACGGCCCAAACUCCUACGGGAGGCAGCAGUGGGGAAUAUUGGACAAUGGGCGCAAGCCUGAUCCAGCCAUGCCGCGUGAGUGAUGAAGGCCCUAGGGUUGUAAAGCUCUUUUGUGCGGGAAGAUAAUGACGGUACCGCAAGAAUAAGCCCCCGGCUAACUUCGUGCCAGCCGCCGCCGUAAU
rnacentral:rRNA from 1 species